ACUUAGGCCCUGCAAAUUGAUUUCUUCAUUGUGGCUAUAAUAAUGAUCCAAUCGGAUCCCCAUGAUCUGAUAGAUAUGGUAUUCCCUACGGAAUGGCGUUUUUGGUUUUCUUUUAUCUUCAAAAUGGUGACUGUGGGAGUCUGAAAGCAUAACAUGGUUGCCCCAUCUCUGAGCACUAGGCGCUCGUAAGGACGGACAGACAUGGCUCAAUCGACUCGGCUAUUGAUGCUGAUCAUGAAUAUAUACAUACAUAUGUAAACUUUAUGUGGUCGGAAACAUUUCCUUCUGUGCGUUACAUACAUCCAAUUUUCCCCACAAAUACAAUAUACCCUAUUUACUCUUCGAGUACCGGGUAUAAAAAGAUUACC
rnacentral:lncRNA from 1 species